rnacentral:lncRNA from 1 species
GGGGCCGCGCUCGGCGUUCGCGCUGCCACCCGCGACCCCGCGGCCGCCAGCGCUGCGGGGCGGCCGGUGCGGAACAGGCCGGAAACGUGCGGGUGGGCUCGGGGUGGCCGGGAUCUCCCCGUUCAGCUCGUCCAUGGCGGUGACCUCCCGUCCCCCGUGACCGAGCCCGGGCUCUGGAAGGGGACGGCCCCGGGCCUGGGUCUGAGCGAAUCUUGAACCCAGGCCGCCAGCGGGGUAGCUCCCUCCCGAAGGGGAGACCCUGCGUGUCCUUAGCAAUGGUGACAGCCCAGUCGGGCGCUCCAGCGUUCCCUGGAAGGAGAGACUGUGGCCUCGGAGGUAAUUUCCACACCGCGCUCUUCGUCCUCAGGGUGCAGGCAGCUGGAGGAAGCGAGGGCAAGGGGGGGACGGGGAUGUGGACACCUCCCCGGCGCGGGCGCACCUGCGGCCUCACCUGCCAAGCGGCUCUAGGAGGGGCCCCUUGCUGGCAUCGCCCCCCCCCCCCCCAGCACGUGCCCUUUCCUGUUAGCUUGGACCCCACACUUGCCUGCCUUCUACACAGGCGCAGAAACGAUGACUCUGGUUCCUGGGCGAUAGAAGUAUUUUGAGGGUUUAAGAUUUUUAAAAAUACAAGUGUGGAAUUUAAAAAAAAAAAAAUACUUUUUAAAAAAUAGAAUUAAAAAAAUGCUUUAGAAUCACUAGGCAUAUUUUGGUGGGAAGGUAGGUAAAAAGGCAAAAAGCAUUUUCUUUCUAGGUGGAAGUGGCCACUCGCAAGGGCCAAAGUGAAUUCAGAAUAAAAUUCUUUGACGAGUAUUGGGAGUGUGUUCAAUCAGGGCCAACUAUUGAGGAUGCAAAGAUGAAUUGGUUGGACAGUGUCUUUUUUUUUUUUUUUUUUUAGAAGAAGUAUGCAAUUUUCAGUAAGGAGAAAAGACGGGAAGGGAACAUGACUUAGUAAGAAUUAGCUUUGGUAUAUUUCAAGACUGAAUGCAGUAAGUAGCCUGGUUUGAUAAGACAAUAAUGCUACUGUACAAGGGCGUGGUGAAAGAUAAGCCCACAGGAUGUGGUUAAAGAUAUCAUGAAAGGCCUUUAGUACUCAGCUGGUUUUGAGUAUAAUUGAACAGAGGAAGAGCCUUGGCAAAUAUGAAUUCGUGGUGUUGGAACAGGUGGCUAUCCUCGGAGGACAAAUAAUUAUCUGGCCUUUUACACAAAAGUAAACUUUAUUUAUUUAUUUUUAUUUUUUAAAAGAUUUUAUUUAUUUAUUCAUGAGAGACACAGAGAGAGAGGCAGAGACACAGGCAGAGAGAGAAGCUGGCUCCCCAUGGGGAGCCCGAUGUAGGACUCGAUCCCAGAACUCUAGGAUCAUGACCUGAGCCAAAGGCAGAUGCUCAACCACUGAGCCACCCAGUCGUCCCUAAACUCCAUUUAAAUAAAGAUGUAAAUGUGUAAAACAAAAUAUACUCCAAUAAGAAAACAUAGUAGUAAGUGUUCAUGACACUUACUUAGGAUUUUAUAAAACAUUGUAUAGAAAGAUGCAAGUGGGGCAGCCCCGGUGGCGCAGCGGUUUAGCGCCGCUUGCAGCCCAGGGUGUGAUCCUGGGGACCCGGGAUUGAGUCCCACGUGGGGCUCCCUGCAGGGAGCCAGCUUCUCCCUCUGCCUGUGUCUCUGCCUCUCUCUCUGUGUCUCUCAUGAAUAAAUAAAUAAAAUCUCUUAAAAAAAUAAAUUAAUUAAAAAAAAGAAAGAUGGAAAUGUUAAUGGAGAAAAGUAAUAAAUUUGACAAUGUUAUAAUUUUGAAACUUCUGUAUAACUUUAAGAAAGUUAAAGAUAAGGCACAAACUUGGAGGAUAUAUUUACAAAAUGUAGAAUUUUAAUAGUUUAUUUCUAGAAUAUACAAAGGACUUAAUAAGAACAUCUC